CCCUUAGAUGUUCUGGGCUGCACGCGUGCUACAAUGAAGCGUCCAACAAGAUGCGAAGCCGAAAGGCUCAGCGGAUCUUUGAAGUCGUUUCGUGACCGGGACAGUUGAUUGCAAUUAUUCGACUCGAACGAGGAAUUCCUUGUAAUCGCGAUUCAUCACAUCGCGCUGAAUACGUCCCUGCCCUUUGUACACACCGCCCGUCGCUCCUACCGAUUGAGCGAUCCGGUGAAUUAUUUGGAGUGUCCACGCAAGCCAAUCCGUUUACGUGGGUGCGAAAUUUUGUAAACCUUAUCGCUUAGAGGAAGGAAAAGUCGUAACA
rnacentral:rRNA from 1 species